rnacentral:lncRNA from 1 species
GAGCUUUCAUUUCUUGUGUAACUUUUACUCCAGGUUUUGGGACUUAGGCAACAUCAGCUCUCAAAAUAUACAUUGCUGCCUGUACUGUAAGUUGUAACUCCUGAAGAACAAGCAAGCAACAGAAAGACACAGCAUGGAUCACAUUGCCUGGAGAUGUUUCUUUUCUGCUGUGAUACCUGAAGCUGAAGUUGGCAUCUUCCACUCAGAGAACUUACUGUCCACCCUGUUUGUGGGAAUACACCAAAGAAAACAUUGGCAUUGUUUAUUGGUCAUAGGAAAGCCAGAAAUAGCAUGAGGGAA